UACAGAGGUGGCAAGCGUUGUUCGGAAUUACUGGGACGUAAGGGCGCGUAGGCGGCCAUCUAAGUCAGACGUGAAAUCCCCGGCUUAACCUGGGACUGCGUCUGAUACUGGAAGGCUUGAGUAUGGGAGAGGGAUGUAGAAUUCCAGGUGUAGCGGUGAAAUGCGUAGAUAUCUGAGGAAUACCGGUGGCGAAGGCGACUACCUGGCCUGUUCUUGACGCUGAGG
rnacentral:rRNA from 1 species